AUACGGAGGCGGCUAGCGUUGUUCGGAAUUACUGGGCGUAAAGGGCGCGUAGGCGGAUUGUCAAGUCAGAGGUGAAAGCCCUGGGCUCAACCCGGGAACUGCCUUUGAAACUAACAGUCUUGAGUCCGAGAGAGGAUGGCGGAAUUCCCAGUGUAGAGGUGAAAUUCGUAGAUAUUGGGAAGAACACCAGUGGCGAAGGCGGCCAUCUGGCUCGGUACUGACGCUGAGGCGCGAAAGCGUGGGGAGCAAACAGGAUUAGAAACCCCAGUAGUCC
rnacentral:rRNA from 1 species